CUAUAUAAGAAAAAGACUCAAAAAUCGGGACUGUCCCUAUAAAAUCGGGACAUCUGGUCCCCCUAGUAUGUGUUGGGGUGCCGGUAUGUGCAGGUCUGAGUGCGACACCGGAGGCUCGGCAGCACUAAUUCAAGGGGAAGUUUCUCCCUCGUAGGCCUCAUGAGCUCAAAGCGGCUUGGGGAUCAGAAUCGUGCUCUCUAAGGGAAGGAGCAGGGGGAGCCCAUGCCUGCCUGACAGGAGCCGGGCUAGCUCUGCUCGGAGCUCGCAGGUGGUGGCCUUCAGUUAGGGGUGUGAGGAGAAAGGCAAACCUGUGGAGCUGCUGCCAUCUGCAGGGGCCUGGCAGGGUGUUCCACCGGCGUGUGUAUUUCUGCGGCUGUAGCUGGAGUGCAUUGGUCUCCCUGGUGCAGGUGGAGCUGGGGAACAGUCCUCCCCACUCUUUGGCAGGCUUCCCGAGGCGGCUGCAGGCUCAAGGCCCGAUGCAUCCAUCCACACGGAUUGAUAAUCACGAUGGAUGGUGUUUUCUUUCUUCGCCGCAGUCCUGAGAGGACGGUCACAUAAAAACGGAGGGGAACCUACUAAAUCUUGGUUACUCUUCCCACUAGCCAGUGUGGCCAGGGGACCUUGUGUCAUGGUCCAGAGCACGGAGACGUUCGAAGAGCCUCUUAGUGCCAGCCAAGGGCAGAUCAAUCAUUCCUGUGAUGCCGUACCAGCCGCCUUUCUGAAAUGCAGGUGAAUGAUGGCUGCUGACAGUCUCGCUAGACAGGCCCCAGCUCCGAUUCCUCCGGGGCUGGAACUUGCGCUCACUUCCCAGAAGCCCUGCCAACUCUCCCACAGCCUUCGAUAUGCUGCUUGCCUCCGUACCUGCGCCGGCUUGGCAGCUGAAUUCACAGUCUGUGGUUCUCUCCCCCCUGACUGGAAGGAGGAUGAGGAGGAGACAGCUGUAGAGAAAAGCUCCAGGCAGGUCCUCACAAGCCACCAGCAGAAGUGGACGGAGUCCCCUGUGGAGUGCCGUAGCUUCAAUUACCCGCAGCUGUGCAGCUAACACCAGUGGCCUAAGCAGCUUGAAUAUUGAUGAGGGAGCAUUUCAGAGUCACCUCCAAGACUAAAGAGACCCCAAUUUACAUCCAAAGCUAAAAACAAAAAGCCACAAACAAAACCCAACGCUGUGUUUGAAGCGAUGGGCGACAAUGCGCGAUACAAAAGCAAAAGUCUGAAUUAUCCAUGGCGCUCGCUCUUCAACUGGGUGCCUUUAAGAAAACAGAAAAGAAGCAAGGUAGCUUUGAAACAAAGCUGUUUGACAGGCAGAGAAGCAGAGGUCUCAAGAAAAUUUUGCAUAUCUAAUUGGUCUCAGUUCAGAGUCCAGCCAUCCAGCCAUCAAAAGCCUCCACCGUUUUGCUUUUUAAUGAGAGAUUUUCAUACAUUAACACUUCAUUAAGUCCGUAGCCAAGUAAUUUUUAGGCCAAUUUAAAAUGCAUAUGCCAAGCGGCCUUGACUCUCGCCUGACUUCUUAAGAUAAUAGUUGACACAGCCCCGCGUAGCCUGCUCUGGCUGUCUGCUUCACCUCAGUGAUUGACCUGGAAGAGCAGGGGAGGGGGAGAAAGCUGCGGCAACUGGGAGAUUAAACAACUUUGCCAGAGUCAAACGGAAUGAACCAGGACCCGAACUUCCGUGCAGAAGAAGACGACAAAGCCAGCCAAGAGGAGAAACCGUUCCCAGGGCAUUUGCACCCACAAAAAAAUCACUACACCCUCUGUUCCUGGAAUGGGAAUAAGAAGGAAAAGGAAGGAUGAGAGCAGAUGGAGAAGAGUGAAAUGAACAUUGCAGUCAAUGCUACCCACCCCUGUACCGAGGGAGAGGAGCAUAGAACCAUAUCGCUACAUAGAUCACUCACAGAAACAUUGUGAUCUGCUCACCGUGUUCACUAAGGCCUGGAGGUCCCAGCUGAGCUCAGAGCCCCAUUAUGCCAGGCACUGUACAGACACUCAUGCCUUGUCUACAUGAAAAAGUUGCACUGGCUUAAUUUAAAUCAGUCUUGAAACCAAUAUAGUUAAACUGGUGCUAAGCCCUGUGCAAACACCGUUAUUUCAAU
rnacentral:lncRNA from 1 species